rnacentral:lncRNA from 1 species
CCACCCUUCGCUCUCUGGGGUGACCUCCCUAUGCCUCAAUCUACCCGUCUCUGAAGGGGGUCUAAGGAUCUCUGUGCGCCGAGCCGCCAUGCAGAGGGCCUGAGGCAGCAGGUGGAGAGAGGCGAGCAGAUGCUGAUGACUGAGCGACCGAGCAGCGUGUGUGUUGGGAUGACGGCUCUGUCCUCUCAGCCGCCAGCCUCGGCUGACAGCAGCACACUCAAACGCCAGACAUGCGCCCACCAGCCUUUGCCCCGUGGCGCCUCCUGGCUCUCCGGCCCCUCUGAUCUUCUGUCCCCCCUGCUCAGAGCUCGUGUGCCCCCAAAGAAAGUGGGGGCAGGGGUCAGCCGGCCUCCUGCCCUGCAUCUUCUGGCCCUCCAAGUGACCUCCCCAGGCAGCUCCCGGCCCGUCCCCCAGCCUGAGACAGGCAGUCUCGGGACACGUCUCUGUCCUCCACAUUCUCCUUUCCCGCGAGGCUGCACUGGUCCUGAGGUGUCUGCCUCCUGCCGAGCCUCCAGGGGCUCGUCCAUCUCAGCAGGAGCUGUCAGAGCGCCCAGGUUGUUCUGCUCUUUGCCUGCGGAAUCGUUGGGGGCUGGCCGGUGCCUGCUGGAUCCGCUGGCCUCCGGGGCUCCUCCCUGUCCCUCCUCCUUCCCCACCCCCUUCUUGCCUUUCACGACAAAUACUUGUGAACAGCCACCCUGUGCUGUCAGCAUGGAGGUACGGAGUAGAAUAGGUGGGGUCCACAGAGUGACCACAUACCUCUGCAGGCCGCACGCAGGGCAGACCCCGCAGGGGGCAUGGGGCGCCCCCCGCCCUUGCAGGUGCUGUGGGGGUGGGAGCAGUGAGCCCGCACCCCACCCCGAGUGGCUGAGAGCUGCCGCCCACCACGCAGACUCCCCUUUGUCCCACGAGCUGGCAGGUCCAUGCUGGGGGCCAUGCACAGCAGAAAUGCCUUAGAUGCCCAGGAGCCUGGAUGGGCCACGCCCGAGAACUGACCACUGAGGGCACGGAUCCAAGCUCACGACGUCGGCCCUGAUGGAGAGAAAGGCACGCGCUGGGGCAGCCAUCCCCAGACUCUCGG